rnacentral:RNase_P_RNA from 1 species
UUGGCAGACCAGACGAACGCUGUGCCGUACGAUGACAUCAAGCGGUAGGGAGGAAAGUCCGGGCUACAUAGGGCAGAGUGCCAGCUAACGGCUGGGCGGUGUAAGCCGACGACUAGUGCAACAGAGAGCAGACCGCCCCGCCAUGUCUGUGACGUAGCGGGGUAAGGGUGAAAGGGUGGGGUAAGAGCCCACCGCAUGACUGGUAACAGCUCAUGGCAAGGUAAACUCCACUCGUAGCAAGACCAAAUAGGUGUCCGUAUGGCGUUGCCCGCGUUGGACACGGGUAGGUUGCUUGAGCGUAUUGGUAACGAUACGCCUAGAUGAAUGUUCGUCCAUGACAGAACCCGGCUUAUCGGUUUGCCAACCAA